AUGAAAAUUUUAGCAAGAAGACUGCAACCUUGGCUCAAAAAACUUGUCCUACCAUCCCAGAGUGCAUUCAUAAAAGGAAGAGCCAUCCAUGAUAACUUCCUGUUUGUUAAAGGAAUGGUCAGAUCCCUUUAUUUGAAGAAGAUUCCCCCAAUCAUGAUCAAGCUCGACAUAGACAAGGCAUUUGAUAGCGUCUCUUGGGAGUUCUUGAUCGACGUUCUCGCGGCAAAGGGAUUCAGCCUCAAGUGGAGAAAUUGGAUUUCUUCCAUGCUUGCUUCGGCCUCAACCAGAGUCCUUGUUAAUGGGGAAUUGACUGACUACAUCGUGCACCAUAAGGGCCUGAGGCAGGGAGACCCUCUAUCGCCUCUAUUGUUUGUGCUCGUGAUGGACGUCCUUGAUGCUAUGAUUCGUGCAGCAGUUGAUGCCCAGGUGCUCCCACCCCUCGGGCGAAGCCUUCCUUCAGUCAGAGCCUCAUUUUAUGCAGAUGAUGUGAUGAUCUUUGUCAGACCAAACUAUCAAGAAGUCAAUGCUGUAAAGAAGAUCCUCGAUAUUUUUGAGGAUGCUUCUGGCUUAAGGACUAACUACACCAAAAGUAGCUUUUGCCGCAUCAGAUGCGAGGAUGUUGACACUCUUGAGCUGGCCGCACUGCUUCAAUGCCCCAUCAAAGAUUUCCUAGUCAUCUACCUUGGCAUGCCCCUCAGUUACACGAGAUUGCAGAAAGUACAUUAUCAGCCUAUUUUUGACAAGCUCCAGCGCAACACCUCCGGAUGGAACAAGCUUAUGCUUCCCACCGCCGGACGGCUUGCUCUGAUCACCUCCGUCUUAUAUGCUUUGCCAGUCUUCCAGAUUUUGGCCAUUGAACCUCCUCGUUGGGCUGUUAAAAAGUUUGACAAAAGAUGCAGAGGGUUCCUUUGGGCAAAUAAAGAUGAGGCAACUGGGGGUAAAUGUCUGGUUAAUUGGAAGCAAGUAUGCUUACCUAAAAAGUUUGGCGGCCUUGGGAUUCCCUGUCUGCUCCAAAAAAGUGAGGCAAUGAGAUGCAAGUGGCUGUGGCUUUCCUGGAUGGACACUACGCGACCAUGGCGUGGUUUACCUCUGCCUAUCACCAGCUCGGUCAGGGCUCUCUUUGAGGCUUCAGUCCAAUUCAACAUUGGGGAUGGCGCCAACACGCAGUUUUGGACAGACCCUUGGCACAACAGAGAAAGUUUCAGCUCAAGGUUUCCUGAUUUAUUCAAGCAUUGCACUGUCAAGUCGAUAUCCAUCCUUCAUGCUUUGACUGACGGAAAAUGGAUGCGACACUUUAAGAGCAACCUUUCCCAAGACGCUAUUAGCCAGUUUACGUCCAUGUGGAAUGACCUGCAGCUGGUGCAGCUAUCCGAAAAUCAGGAAGACACCUUAACUUGGCGUUGGACUGCAAACGGCCAAUUUUCCUCCUGCUCAGCAUACACGGCUACUCUUACUGCCAACAUCAAACCUCUGUUUGCUAAGUUGGCCUGGAGCUCCGAUGCGCCCCCUACGUGCCAGUUUUUCGUUUGGUUGGCGGCUCAAGAGCGAUGCCUGAUGGCAGACAACCUAGCAAAAAGGGGAUGGCCUCACAACCCCCUAUGCUCUCUAUGCCUUCAAGAGCCGGAAUCUGCUACACACUUGCUUACCACAUGCUCAUUUGCUAAGGAAAUCUGGCACUUGACCUUUGACAUGCUUCAUAUGCACCACAGUUUGAUGGCCAACAAUGGGGAGUCCCUCACUAGCUGGUGGCAACGCUCCAGUUCGGCGAUGACCAAGGACAAGGCAAAGACUUGGCGGUCCAUUAUUGCUCUUGUGUGGUGGAACAUAUGGAAAGAAAGAAAUGCGAGGGUAUUCACUAAUUCAUCCUGCAGUGUAAGACCCCUGUUCGAGAAGAUUCAAGUUGAAGCCAAGGAUUGGAUUGAUGCUGGUCGUAGGAGAGUUCUACAACUUGUCGAGCGACCCUUAGAACCUGAUUGA
rnacentral:rRNA from 1 species